rnacentral:rRNA from 1 species
AUGCACGCUGGCGGCGUGCCUCAUCCAUGCCAUUCGAGCGAACAGAUGAGGAGCUUGCUCCUCUGACGUUAGCGGCGGACGGGUGAGUAACACGUGGAUAACCUACCUAUAAGACUGGGAUAACUUCGGGAAACCGGAGCUAAUACCGGAUAAUAUAUUGAACCGCAUGGUUCAAUAGUGAAAGACGGUUUUGCUGUCACUUAUAGAUGGAUCCGCGCCGCAUUAGCUAGUUGGUAAGGUAACGGCUUACCAAGGCAACGAUGCGUAGCCGACCUGAGAGGGUGAUCGGCCACACUGGAACUGAGACACGGUCCAGACUCCUACGGGAGGCAGCAGUAGGGAAUCUUCCGCAAUGGGCGAAAGCCUGACGGAGCAACGCCGCGUGAGUGAUGAAGGUCUUCGGAUCGUAAAACUCUGUUAUUAGGGAAGAACAAAUGUGUAAGUAACUAUGCACGUCUUGACGGUACCUAAUCAGAAAGCCACGGCUAACUACGUG